rnacentral:rRNA from 1 species
GAUGAACGCUGGCGAGAUGCCUUACACAUGCAAGUCGUACGAGAGUUUUUAACUCAAGUGGCGGACGGGUGAGUAACACGUAAGAAUUUGCCUUUAGGAGGGGGACAACAACUGGAAACGGUUGCUAAUACCCCAUAUGCUUUCGAGUGAAAUGGAUUUUCCGCCUAGAGAGAAGCUUGCGGCUGAUUAGCUUGUUGGUGAGGUAAUGGCUCACCAAGGCGACGAUCAAUAGCUGGUUUGAGAGGAUGAUCAGCCACACUGGGACUGAGACACGGCCCAGACUCCUACGGGAGGCAGCAGUGGGAAUCUUAGACAAUGGGGGCAACCCUGAUCUAGCCAUGCCGCGUGAGUGACGAAGGCCCUAGGGUCGUAAAGCUCUUUCGCCAGGGAUGAUAAUGACAGUACCUGGUAAAG